AAGUAUUUCCCUUGUAUUUUUCAAAGUCAGGGACCUUGAAUUUCACAGGGAUCUUCACAUUAGGAACCAAUCAGAGUUCGGCAGCAGACUUGCCGAAAAGAUCCUUUCCUUUGAGAGUUUUCAAUUCCUUGCGAAGCUCAAGAAAUUGAUCAUUCAUAGCGUCCAUCUUCUCAUAGACAUCUGGGCCUUCAGACGGCUCAGAAUGAUAGAUGGUGUUGUCUACUAUGGGUAUAGUAUGCACGAUAGGAGGAGGAACAACAAGGACCG
rnacentral:lncRNA from 1 species